rnacentral:rRNA from 1 species
GACAGAGGGGGCAAGCGUUGCUCGGAAUCACUGGGCGUAAAGGGCGCGUAGGCGGGUUGGCAAGUCGGUCGUGAAAGCCCCGGGCUCAACCCGGGAGAGUCGGCCGAGACUGCGGGUCUUGAGGGAGGCAGAGGAGACUGGAAUUCCCGGUGUAGCGGUGAAAUGUGUAGAGAUCGGGAGGAACACCGGUGGCGAAGGCGGGUCUCUGGGCCUACCCUGACGCUGAGGCGCGAAAGCGUGGGGAG